GCCCCCAUAGCUCAGUUGGAUAGAGCACCGGACUUCUAAUCCGAUGGUCGCAGGUUCGAAUCCUGCUGGGGGCG
rnacentral:tRNA from 1 species